UAGAAGAGAUAAUGCUAAAAUCAGUAAUAAGAGAGCACAAGGCUCUCUCCAGGCACAUGUGUAAGUCAGAACGGACAAACCAAUGGCAAUCAACAGACCCAAAAUGAGGGAAAAGCACUCACACUAAAACAAACCAGAAAACCCUGCAACAAAACAACUGUUAAACCAACACAGGAGCGCCCACAAGGAAAGACUAAAAGAAGGAGAAGGAACUCGGCAAACACAAACCCCGCCUGUUUACCAAAAACAUCGCCUCUUGCCAACAAAUGGAAGUAUUAGAGGUCCCGCCUGCCCUGUGACCAUAAAGUUUAACGGCCGCGGUAUCUUGACCGUGCGAAGGUAGCGUAAUCACUUGUCUUUUAAAUGAAGACCUGUAUGAAUGGCAUAACGAGGGUUUAACUGUCUCCUCCCCCCAGUCAAUGAAAUUGAUCUGCCCGUGCAGAAGCGGGUAUAAAAACAUAAGACGAGAAGACCCUAUGGAGCUUUAGGCCAAAGAACAGACAUGUAAAGAACCUCAAUAAUCCAAAAGAAGUUUUAACAGAGAACACAAACUAAAUGUAGAAUGAUCCUAGUGCCUUCGGUUGGGGCGACCACGGGGGAAAGAAAAGCCCCCACACGGAAUGGAGUACACCUCCCAAACCAAGAAAAACAAUUCUAAGCAACAGAACAUCUGACCAAAAAUGACCCAGGACAAAUUUACCUAAACCUGAUCAAUGAACCAAGUUACCCUAGGGAUAACAGCGCAAUCCUUUCCCAGAGCCCAUAUCGACGAAAGGGCUUACGACCUCGAUGUUGGAUCAGGACAUCCUAAUGGUGCAGCCGCUAUUAAGGGUUCGUUUGUUCAACGAUUAACAGUCCUACGUGAUCUGAGUUCAGACCGGAGUAAUCCAGGUCGGUUUCUAUCUAUGAACACUACUUCUUCCCAGUACGAAAGGACCGGAAAAAGAGGGCCUAUACUAUAAGCAAGCCCUACCCCCACCUCCUGAAAAAAUAUAAAAGAG
rnacentral:rRNA from 1 species